rnacentral:rRNA from 1 species
CUGCCCUUCAGUCUGGGACAACUUUCCGAAAGGGGAGCUAAUACCGGAUAACAAUGUUUAACAUAAGUUGAAUAUUUGAAAGCUCCGGCGCUGAUUGAUGAGUCUGCGUCCCAUUAGCUUGUUGGUGUGGUAGCGGCACACCAAGGCCACGAUGGGUAGCGGGUUUGAGAGGACGAUCCGCCACACUGGAACUGAGACACGGUCCAGACUCCUACGGGAGGCAGCAGUGGGGAAUAUUGCACAAUGGAGGAAACUCUGAUGCAGCAAUGCCGCGUGAGUGAAGAAGGCCCUUGGGUCGUAAAGCUCUUUUAUGGGGGAAGAUGAUGACGGUACCCCAGGAAUAAGCACCGGCUAACUACGUGCCAGCAGCCGCGGUAAUACGUAGGGUGCGAGCGUUGUUCGGAAUUACUGGGCGUAAAGGGCGCGCAGGCGGAGGUGCAAGUCGGAGGUGAAAGCCCGGGGCUCAACCCCGGAGGGUCUUUCGAAACUGCAUUUCU